rnacentral:rRNA from 1 species
AACGAACGCUGGCGGCAUGCCUAACACAUGCAAGUCGAACGAUACCUUCGGGUCUAGUGGUGCACGGGUGCGUAACGCGUGGUAACCUGCCCUUAGGUUCGGAAUAACUCCCCGAAAGGGGUGCUAAUACCGGAUAAUGUCUUCGGACCAAAGAUUUAUCGCCUUUGGAUGGGCCCGCGUUGGAUUAGCUAGUUGGUAGGGUAAAAGCCUACCAAGGCGACGAUCCAUAGCUGGUCUGAGAGGAUGAUCAGCGACACUGGGACUGAGACACGGCCCAGACUCCUACGGGAGGCAGCAGUGGGGAAUAUUGGACAAUGGGCGAAAGCCUGAUCCAGCAAUGCCGCGUGAGUGAUGAAGGCCUUAGGGUUGUAAAGCUCUUUUACCCGGGAUGAUAAUGACAGUACCGGGAGAAUAAGCACCGGCUAACUCCGUG